GAUGAACGCUGGCGGCGUGCCUAAUACAUGCAAGUCGAGCGAACGGACGAGAAGCUUGCUUCUCUGAUGUUAGCGGCGGACGGGUGAGUAACACGUGGAUAACCUACCUAUAAGACUGGGAUAACUUCGGGAAACCGGAGCUAAUACCGGAUGAUAUUUUGAACCGCAUGGUUCAAAAGUGAAAGACGGUCUUGCUGUCACUUAUAGAUGGAUCCGCGCUGCAUUAGCUAGUUGGUAAGGUAACGGCUUACCAAGGCAACGAUGCAUAGCCGACCUGAGAGGGUGAUCGGCCAAACCGGAACCGGGAAACGGGCCAGAAUCCCACGGGAGGCAGCCGGAGGGAAUCUUCCGCAAUGGGCGAAAGCCCGACGGAGCAAAGCCGCGGGAGUGAUGAAGGUCUUCGGAUCGUAAAACCUUUUUAUUAGGGAAGAACAUAUGUGUAAGUAACUGUGCACAUCUUGACGGUACCUAAUCAGAAAGCCACGGCUAACUACGU
rnacentral:rRNA from 1 species